CAAUAGCGUAUAUUAAAGUUGUUGCAGUUAAAAAGCUCGUAGUUGGAUUUGUGGCGUACGGUGUGUUCCGGGCACUUGUUGUCUGAGUAACCUGCUGUUGCCAUCCUUGGGUGGAACCUGUGUGGCAUUAGGUUGUCGUGCAGGGGAUGCCCAUCAUUUACUGUGAAAAAAUUAGAGUGUUCAAAGCAGGCUUAUGCCGUUGAAUAUAUUAGCAUGGAAUAAUGAGAUAGGACUUUCUUGCUAUUUUGUUGGUUUGCGCAAAGAGGUAAUGAUUAAUAGGGACAGUUGGGGGUAUUCGUAUUCCAUUGUCAGAGGUGAAAUUCUUGGAUUUACGGAAGACGAACUACUGCGAAAGCAUUUACCAAGGAUGUUUUCAUUAA
rnacentral:rRNA from 1 species